rnacentral:rRNA from 1 species
CUAGGCAAAAUGGUGCCGUAACUUCGGGAGAAGGCACGCUGAUAUGUAGGUGAAGCGGUUUACCCGUGGAGCUGAAAUCAGUCGAAGAUACCAGCUGGCUGCAACUGUUUAUUAAAAACACAGCACUGUGCAAACACGAAAGUGGACGUAUACGGUGUGACGCCUGCCCGGUGCCGGAAGGUUAAUUGAUGGGGUUAUCCGUAAGGAGAAGCUCUUGAUCGAAGCCCCGGUAAACGGCGGCCGUAACUAUAACGGUCCUAAGGUAGCGAAAUUCCUUGUCGGGUAAGUUCCGACCUGCACGAAUGGCGUAAUGAUGGCCAGGCUGUCUCCACCCGAGACUCAGUGAAAUUGAACUCGCUGUGAAGAUGCAGUGUACCCGCGGCAAGACGGAAAGACCCCGUGAACCUUUACUAUAGCUUGACACUGAACACUGGUCCUUGAUGUGUAGGAUAGGUGGGAGGCUUUGAAGUGUGGACGCCAGUCUGCAUGGAGCCAUCCUUGAAAUACCACCCUUUAAUGGCUGGUGUUCUAACGUGGACCCGUAAUCCGGGUUGCGGACAGUGUCUGGUGGGUAGUUUGACUGGGGCGGUCUCCUCCUAAAGAGUAACGGAGGAGCACGAAGGUUAGCUAAUCCUGGUCGGACAUCAGGAGGUUAGUGCAAAGGCAUAAGCUAGCUUGACUGCGAGAGUGACGGCUCGAGCAGGUGCGAAAGCAGGUCUUAGUGAUCCGGUGGUUCUGAAUGGAAGGGCCAUCGCUCAACGGAUAAAAGGUACUCCGGGGAUAACAGGCUGAUACCGCCCAAGAGUUCAUAUCGACGGCGGUGUUUGGCACCUCGAUGUCGGCUCAUCACAUCCUGGGGCUGAAGUAGGUCCCAAGGGUAUGGCUGUUCGCCAUUUAAAGUGGUACGCGAGCUGGGUUUAGAACGUCGUGAGACAGUUCGGUCCCUAUCUGCCGUGGGCGCUGGAGAAUUGAGGGGGGCUGCUCCUAGUACGAGAGGACCGGAGUGGACGCAUCACUGGUGUUCGGGUUGUCAUGCCAAUGGCAUUGCCCGGUAGCUAAAUGCGGAAGAGAUAAGUGCUGAAAGCAUCUAAGCACGAAACUUGCCCCGAGAUGAGUUCUCCCUGAGACUUUAAGUCUCCUGAAGGAACGUUAAAGACGAUGACGUUGAUAGGUCGGGUGUGUAAG